rnacentral:rRNA from 1 species
UCGGGAAUUUUGGGCAAUGGGCGAAAGCCUGACCCAGCAACGCCGCGUGAAGGAUGAAGUAUUUCGGUAUGUAAACUUCGAAAGAAUAGGAAGAAUAAAUGACGGUACUAUUUAUAAGGUCCGGCUAACUACGUGCCAGCAGCCGCGGUAAUACGUAGGGACCAAGCGUUGUUCGGAUUUACUGGGCGUAAAGCGCAUGUAGGCGGGCCGUUAAGUUAGGGGUGAAAUCCCGAGGCUCAACCUCGGAACUGCCUCUAAAACUGGCGGCCUGGACCUAAGUAGAGGCAAGUGGAAUUGCGAGUGUAGAGGUGAAAUUCGUAGAUAUUCGCAGGAACACCAGUGGCGAAGGCGACUUGCUGGACUUAUGGUGACGCUGAGAUGCGAAAGCGUGGGGAGCAAACAGGAUUAGAUACCCUUGUAGUCCCUGAGCGGGCUGGCAAGGCGCAU